rnacentral:lncRNA from 1 species
UGUGAGCCGCUGUGCCCAGGCCAAUCCCAGAGAUUUUGAAGAUGAUUUCUCGAUACGAGUUUCACGAAGACUUGAAAAGAAUGUGUCCUCUGUUGUUGGAUGGAGUGUCCUUGAAAUGUUCAUUAGCCUUCUAGCUCCAUUCAGAAGAGCCUCCGAAGUAGAGACCAGAAAUCCUUCUAGUGGGCUGUGCUUUGAGCAGUACUGCUUGUUGACUGCUUUACUUGGAAGGAGAGAUCGACUGAGGUAAGGCUCUUACUAAUGCACGUGCUUUGCUAAUGGUUUGGCCAGAUGAUCAAAAAUGUGGAAGGGGUAAGAUUCAAGGAUUGGUGACAAGGAAGUUUAGAAUAACAGAGAUGUGGAUGGGCCUCCUAGAAUGACCAAAGAAUAUGAGAAUAUUUAUGUUUCAUGUGAACAUUCAUCAAGCUCCUAUUGGUAGUCAGGUAGACAGGUAGACAAGGUGGUCUACUUUGAGGAUGCUGAUUAAUCUCUUCCUCCAGUGACGCAGGGUUUGCUCAGUGGGCUCAUGGACAGAGUGGCCCUGAUGGCUCAGUGGAGGGCUUGGUAUAGGCUUAGCCACAUGGACUCACCAAGACUAACCUGGUUACAGCCGUUGUUGAAUGCCCAACAUUCUACAGCAGAAACCAACCCUGAGCUCCUGACUUGGUGCCAUACCGUGGGGGGACCAACCUGCUGCUUCAGGCCCGGGAAAGAAGUGGACAAGACUCUGCUCUCUUCAUGGAACCGAGUAUUCUAAGGACACAGCCAAGUCAGGAGACUACACCCCUAGUAUAAUAAGUCCUGUGGCUGUACUGAGAAGAGGUCCUGACUCAGAACUGGAGGACAUCAUGGAAGGCUUCCUGGAGGAAGUGCCAUCUAGGCUGAAACCUAAAGGAUGAGUAGAACUAACCAGAUGAAAAGCACUGGAUUUGACUCAUCCCUGCAUCCCCCGAGCACCUCGUGGGUGCCGUAAAGGCAGCUGGGUUGAUGAUGACUGAGUGAAGGAGCGCCUGAGUGGAUGAGCCACUGAGUGAAUGAACUGGAGUUCAUCUUCCACGUGGUCCUCAGCAUCCACUCUAGAAGCCAAAGCCAAGGACACAGCAACCCACCGAGUGCCUUGUCCUCACUCUCUCCAACUGGGGAGUGCCCCUGCGGUGUCAUCUCUCUUUACAGAAGAGAUGCCAUGAGCUACUUUCCUUUCCCCACCUCACCUAACUUCUCUGCUGUAGCCUAACAGUCCAGGACCUGGGGAUUCAGGCACAUGUACGUGUCUUUUCAGCCUGAGGGAUCUAAAGCCUUGGGACUUCUGGAUCUGCAAGUGGUCCCUGUUUUGGUAGCUAUUGACUGACGAGGGGCUCUUCGGUAAGUUCUGGGGUGGCAGUGGAGGUGAUGAUGGGAGGGUGUUACAGGGCUCCACAGGCUCUUACAGGGCUCGGGAGCUUAUUUAAGGGAACACCUUGAUUGUCCAUGUGUCGUGGGCCAGAGAAGAAAGGCAGCACUGUGGAUCUUCUGGGAGGAAAGGAGAGGCGUCGAUUUCUGACUCCAGUUUUCUAUGAUCAGCACAGACUCUGUCCCACCUCCUCCCUACAGAGCUUCUGGAUCCUGGAGGAUGGAGAAUAGGCUAAAUUGCACAGGCCAGCUCCAGUCCAUUGGCAGGGCUGCCUAGAACAUGGCUGUGAUGAUCCCAAAGCUCAAUAGCAGAGAACCCUGUGGGGUGCUAGGAGUGUCUGCCAGGGUGCCGCAGGGAAAGGGGAGCAUGUGUGUAGAUGUAGAAAGCAUCUCUGCCAUCCCCUCCCCUAAAGAAUAUAUAACAUGGCCAUGCAGAAAAACACUUGUGAAAGGAGCUGCUGCCCUCAGGACAGCGUGUCAUUGAAAUGGGGGCUGAGCAACCCGUCAGAAGAGUGGGGAGGAGGGACCAUCCUCCAGCCCCUUCCCAGCUCUCUUCUGGAGCCAUAAGCCACAACACUGUCUAUGAAAAAGCUGAGGCCUAGAGCAGAAGGAGUGCAAAAUCCCAGCUACUGCAGGCCUACGCCCAGUGGUUCUCAAAGUGUUGUCCUCAGUCUAGCAGCAUCAGUGUCACCUGAAAACUGGUUAGACAUCCAGGUUCUCAGUUGUUAUCCAGCUCUAGCAGAUGGGAAACGCUGGGGGCGGGACCAGCCAUCUGUGUUUAACAAGCCCCACAGGUGACUGCUGUAGCCUUGAGUGAGGACCUCGGCCAAAAAGAAGGCUCCUACCGUGGCUGUUUGCUGAUGGUCUUCGCAGAGCCUGCUGUCUUUGAGCUUCCUGAGAGAGGGACACUACCCUCGCUUAGCCUGGCAGUGUUGCCCAGGAGGAGGCAGUGGAGUUAAGAAGCCUGGGUCUGAGCUCCUCAGCUGUGCAGACAACUCCUACUUGUUCUUCAACGCUCAACUUUAAGUUCAGUCACCACCUGCAGAAGUCUUCUCCAAAACCUCCCCACCUGGCUGACUAAGGGGCUGGCUUUAUGCUCUUGCAGUACUCAUGCUUCCUACUGUCACAGUUCUGACCACACCGUGGGAAAACGUCUCUAACUAGAGACCUGUCUUGCCUCUUGUGCCUGUAGUACGGGAUGGGUGCCCAGUGUGUGUUGAUUGUAUGAAUCAAUCUCUGUGACUCCAGAGUUCCUUUCUUCAGGAGAUUAGACAUCACCCCUGCAAUCAACAAUGCAAGCCACUGCUGUUUCCUCCAUCCUGAGCAUGAGGAACCUAUCCAGUUUCUCUCUCAGAUGCCAGGGCCAUGAGGCAAGUCCAGCCUUGGCCUAGAACCAAAGAUGGAAACAAAAAGGGGCCAGACUGUGUUGCCUUCUUGAGCCUGGUCUGACUCCUGAGUGGAAGUCUGAUUCCAGGUACAUGAGAUAAGCACUAAUACCUCCAGUUUGCAGAUUAAGAGACUGAGGUCCUGAAGAGGUUAAAGAACUUGGCUCAAGUCACAUAGCUGGUGAGCAGCAAGAUACAAGAAUCAACCCAAGUCCAGGGGGCUGUGUGCCGUUUACACUUCACAUCUGUGCUGCCAGGGCUGUAGCUAUAAAAGCUUGAAAACCAUUACUCUGAGAAUCUCUCUGUUGGGAAAAUGAGUCCCUUCAACUCUAGUUGUUGCCACUGGGAUGCUAACAGAAAGCAAAGUCUCAGAGGAAAGAUGUGGCAUUCCUGAGUGUCUUCCAUGUACCAGGACUUCUAUUUGCUAGCCACUUUAUGUUCCUCAUCCCAUCCUUCUGUGAGGGACAUACUUUUCAGAUGAGAAACGUAAGCUCCGCGAAGCUAAGGGGCCGGACUGAGGUCCCACAGCGAGAGUGUGGAGGAGCCAGGAUCCGAACCCCAUCGCCAGCCCUUGCCAGUUCCAUGAUUCCGGUGCCAGCGCUCGCCUGACCUCCAGGGCUGUCAUGGUGGGAAGGGACUGGAGGGCAUCUGCUGGGCAAAGGAAAGAGACAAACAUCAUCCCAGAGCCUGUCUUCCCUGGGCAAUACCCGGGCCACUCCAGACAUGGCGUCUUUAGCCCUUCCUUGGUCACUGGCCCCCAGGUGAAGAGAGCAUUUUUCUCUGACUCAAGUUCUUGCCUCUGGAUUUGCCAAGCUCCUAUGACAGUCUUCGCCCUUCUGAAGCUCUCUCAGGCUCCCCUUCCAGAAAUCCCGCAGGUUCCACCGACCUCUCUGAGAGCACAGGCGAGUGGUUGAACGGUGGGCUUUAGAGACGGCGCGGCACCAGAGUCCUGUACUGGCUGUGUGAUCCUGAACCUCCUCACUGAGAUUCUCAUCUGCAAGAUGGAGA